UUUAAAACUUUACUGCUAAACUCAGAAAAAAAUAUAAGGUAUGAUUCUUUCGAUUGUAUCUAUUCUUUUUGCUGGAUAUCUUGCCUCCUGUAGCAGGGGAUCUGCUUCUGCAGAAACAACUGCUGUACUUCUAGGGGGUGGCUAUGGUGGGAAAACUGAAUCAUAUCCCUGUGAUGUGGCAAUAGGAGAUAUUGGUUAUCUGGUAGGACUAGG